rnacentral:rRNA from 1 species
GACGAACCGUCCAAACGUUAUUCGGAAUUACUGGGCUUAAAGGGUGCGUAGGCGGCGCGGAAAGUUGGGUGUGAAAUCCCUCGGCUCAACCGAGGAACUGCGCCCAAUACUACCGUGCUUGAGGGAGAUAGAGGUGAGCGGAACUUAGGGUGGAGCGGUGAAAUGCGUUGAUAUCCUAAGGAACACCGGUGGCGAAAGCGGCUCACUGGAUCUCCUCUGACGCUGAGGCACGAAAGCUAGGGUAGCGAACGGG